GCCUAGUUAGCUUAGUUGGUAGUGCGUCUGCCUUGUAAGCGCUAGGCCGCGGGUUCGAUUCCCGCCCAAAGUG
rnacentral:tRNA from 1 species